rnacentral:rRNA from 1 species
CCUACGGGCGGCUGCAGUGGGGAACAUUGCACAAUGGGCGCAAGCCUGAUGCAGCCAUGCCGCGUGUGUGAAGAAGGCCUUCGGGUUGUAAAGCACUUUCAGCGGGGAGGAAGGCGGUGAGGUUAAUAACCUCAUCGAUUGACGUUACCCGCAGAAGAAGCACCGGCUAACUCCGUGCCAGCAGCCGCGGUAAUACGGAGGGUGCAAGCGUUAAUCGGAAUUACUGGGCGUAAAGCGCACGCAGGCGGUCUGUCAAGUCGGAUGUGAAAUCCCCGGGCUCAACCUGGGAACUGCAUUCGAAACUGGCAGGCUAGAGUCUUGUAGAGGGGGGUAGAAUUCCAGGUGUAGCGGUGAAAUGCGUAGAGAUCUGGAGGAAUACCGGUGGCGAAGGCGGCCCCCUGGACAAAGACUGACGCUCAGGUGCGAAAGCGUGGGGAGCAAACAGGAUUAGAUUACCCUUGUAGUC